GAUUACAGACCGUUGGUAUUAAUUGUGUAUAUGUAUAUUCAAGACGAGACGAAAACAACAAUUAAUACAAUAGAAGGGUUCUAUAGUGUUAUGAAUUUAUCAUCCACUUUUCAACAGGACGUUACUGUGUAUUAGCUGAAAUUGGACACAACCAAACAGAGCAAGGCAUUCAACACUAGGCAAUAGGAUAUUAUCAUAUAUCUAUUAAUCAUUUACAGAAGGCACCAAUUGUUUUCUAUUGAAAAACAAAACAAUCGCCCCCAAUCCAAUGGAACCUAAUUUCCAAAUGGCAAAGUUAUUAUGAUAUCCUCAUUAAAUAUUUAAUAUAUUAAACACUCAGAUAUAAUGUAUUUGACUGAUCUAUGGCAGAUUUUAAAUUGAUGGCAAAAAUGACACCCCAAACAAAGCAUAAUUACAAAUGUAUAUGGCAGAAUUGGAAAUUGCAUAAUUUUUUGGGGGGUGGGGGGAAAACAUAUCACAAUUCAAUAUCAUUUCGUUUUGAAGGGACUAUGCAAAGUUACUGUUCAUUUGCAAAUUAAAAGAAUAUCUACAUAAAAAAAAACGAUUAAAUUUCUAUCAAUGUAACAACUUAGCGACCCC
rnacentral:lncRNA from 1 species